UUCGGGCUUAGUGGCGCACGGGUGAGUAACACGUGGGAAUAUACCUUUCGGUGGGGGAUAACAUCGGGAAACUGAUGCUAAUACCGCAUACGCCCCUUGGGGGAAAGAUUUAUCGCCGAGAGAUUAGCCCGCGUCCGAUUAGCUAGUUGGUGAGGUAACGGCUCACCAAGGCGACGAUCGGUAGCUGGUCUGAGAGGAUGAUCAGCCACACUGGGACUGAGACACGGCCCAGACUCCUACGGGAGGCAGCAGUGGGGAAUAUUGGACAAUGGGCGCAAGCCUGAUCCAGCCAUGCCGCGUGAGUGAUGAAGGCCUUAGGGUUGUAAAGCUCUUUCGUCGGGGACGAUGAUGACGGUACCCGAAGAAGAAGCCCCGGCUAACUUCGUGCCAGCAGCCGCGGUAAUACGAAGGGGGCUAGCGUUGUUCGGAUUUACUGGGCGUAAAGCGCACGCAGGCGGUCCGAUUAG
rnacentral:rRNA from 1 species